GUGGAUUGGGAGGCUUCAACUUUGAUUUCAAGAAUACUGGAAGGCAGAAUCUUGAUAUUCGUUAUGACCUUGAUUUGAGUUUUGAAGAGUCUAUAUUUGGAGGGCAGCGAGACAUCGAAGUACCUUGUCUGGAUGAAUGUGAUAGUUGUGACGGGACUGGUGCUAAAUCUAGCAGUUGUGUUAAAGUCUGUUCUGACUGUGGCGGAAGAGGAGGAGUGGUGAAAACACAGAAAACGCCUUUUGGAAUCAUGUCUCAGGUAUCUACAUGCUUGAAAUGUGGAGGUAAUGGAAAGAUAAUUACUGAUCAUUGUCGAAAAUGUGGUGGCCGUGGUCAAGUACAAUCAAA
rnacentral:misc_RNA from 1 species